AUGGUGCGUGAGACUUGGUCGGCUACUUCUUCCUCUAUCUCUUCUGUAGAUAACUGGUUAUCUAAAACCAGACUGCUUAGGAAGAAGACAAAAGGCCGGGCCAUUAAUAUUGAGGCUGCUUUAAGGAAAAAGAAAAAAUCCCUCCUUAUGGAGUUUGACCUGCUUGACGUUCUAUCUGAAUCCCAGCAGUUGUCUGCUGCUGAUCAUGAUAGAAUGAAAGCUGUGAAAACAGAAUUGGAAGAGAUUUGGAAAAAAGAGGAAACGGCCUUGUGGCAAAAAUCUAGAGACAGAAAAAUUCUUGAAGGGGACCGUAACAAUGCCUAUUUUCAAGCCCUAGCUAAUCACAGGCAUAGGAAAAACCAUCUUUCUGAACUAGUGGGCCCUUCUGGACCUGUGACUUCCACUGAAAACAUGAUGGGAGUAGCUACUGAAUUCUACAAAAAUUUAUUUGCCUAUGAACCUAAACCAGAUUUGCACUUAGGAACUGGUUUUUGGUCUGAGAUAGAAAUGAUUAGUGAGGAUGAGCAGAGAGACUUAGAGAGAUCCUUUUCUGAGGAAGAGAUCAAAGAAGCAAUUAUGAGCUCGUAUGCCAGUGGGGCUCCUGGUCCUGAUGGGCUGUAUUUCCUUUUUUAUCAAAAAAUUUGGGAUCUAAUUAAAAAUGACUUUAUAUGGAUGGUCAGGGAUUUUGAAAAUGGGGAUUUGGACAUCUAUAAGCUUAAUUAUGCCAUCAUCACCCUUAUCCCUAAAAUUCCCCAGGCUAGAGAGAUGAAAAACUUCAGACCUAUUAGUCUUAGUAACUGUGCUGUAAAAAAAAUUCUCCAAGGCCAUGAAUACUAG
rnacentral:rRNA from 1 species